rnacentral:rRNA from 1 species
GCUUGUCUCAAAGAUUAAGCCAUGCAUGUCUAAGUAUAAGCAAACUUGUACUGUGAAACUGCGAAUGGCUCAUUAUAUCAGUUAUAGUCUACUCGAUAGUACCUUACUACUUGGAUAACCGUAGUAAUUCUAGAGCUAAUACAUGCGCAAAUACCCAACUGCUUGUCGGACGGGUAGCAUUUAUUAGAUUGAAACCAAUGCAGUCUUCGGGCUGGUAUUGUGUUGAGUCAUAAUAACUGUGCGGAUCGCGUUUUACGCGAUAAAUCGAUUGAGUUUCUGCCCUAUCAUGCUCUCGAUGGUAGUGUAUUGGACUACCAUGGCUCUCACGGGUAACGGGGAAUUAGGGUUCGAUUCCGGAGAAGGAGCCUGAGAAACGGCUACUACAUCUAAGGAAGGCAGCAGG